rnacentral:lncRNA from 10 species
UAGACUUCUUUCUCCAGGCUCCCGUUGUGUGGCUUGGCUGCCCACUACCUCAUUCCCAUCAAUGGACAAUGGCUGGGAGAGAAAGCCUCCGUGACUGUAUCACGGAACAGUCUCCACUCCAGGUUAUGGAUCCACUGUUGGGCAGUUCUACACUGCUCACAUCCGGAUGCCGAUUCUGCCAGCAAAUCCAUCUGAUUCUAUCUCUCUCUCCGGUCUGUCUAACUCUAGGUUCUGCACAUGUCUAACAUGUGGUUGUGUGAGUGCCAGAGUGCAAGCUCUUGGGAGGCAGGGGACACAUUUAUUGAUGUUGUAUCACCAACAUUUAGUACAUGCCUGCUAAAAAGUUACUGUCAACAUAUUUGUUGAACAAUGAUUACUGGAUGGGUGGAUGAAACAUCAAUAUGACUUGCCCAAGGGCAGUUAUGAAUGUCUCCAAAACUAUUUCAGGGGUAAUUCAUGAACAUGUCCUCUGAGGAUUCUUCUUCCAUCUCUAAGUCAGUUCCUAUGAUAUGACUACCUCAGGGCAAGAAAGUCACUGUGUCCCUGCUACAACAAAA